rnacentral:piRNA from 1 species
UGGAAUCCCAUGGCACCAUAAGCUGGA